rnacentral:rRNA from 1 species
UACGUAGGCAGCGAGCGUUGUUCGGAUUUACUGGGCGUAAAGGGUGUGUAGGCGGUUGUUUAAGUUUGGUGUGAAAUCUCCCGGCUCAACUGGGAGGGUGCGCCGAAUACUGAAUGACUAGAGUGUGGGAGAGGUGAGUGGAAUUCCUGGUGUAGCGGUGAAAUGCGUAGAUAUCAGGAGGAACACCGGUGGUGUAGACGGCUCACUGGACCAUAACUGACGCUGAGACACGAAAGCGUGGGUAGCAAACAGG